rnacentral:rRNA from 1 species
GGGUUGUGAGGUUAAGCGACUAAGCGUACACGGUGGAUGCCCUGGCAGUCAGAGGCGAUGAAGGACGUGCUAAUCUGCGAUAAGCGUCGGUAAGGUGAUAUGAACCGUUAUAACCGGCGAUUUCCGAAUGGGGAAACCCAGUGUGAUUCGUCACACUAUCAUUAACUGAAUCCAUAGGUUAAUGAGGCGAACCGGGGGAACUGAAACAUCUAAGUACCCCGAGGAAAAGAAAUCAACCGAGAUUCCCCCAGUAGCGGCGAGCGAACGGGGAGCAGCCCAGAGCCUGAAUCAGUGUGUGUGUUAGUGGAAGCGUCUGGAAAGGCGCGCGAUACAGGGUGACAGCCCCGUACACAAAAAUGCACAUACUGUGAGCUCGAUGAGUAGGGCGGGACACGUGGUAUCCUGUCUGAAUAUGGGGGGACCAUCCUCCAAGGCUAAAUACUCCUGACUGACCGAUAGUGAACCAGUACCGUGAGGGAAAGGCGAAAAGAACCCCGGCGAGGGGAGUGAAAAAGAACCUGAAACCGUGUACGUACAAGCAGUGGGAGCACAGAGCAAUCUGUGUGACUGCGUACCUUUUGUAUAAUGGGUCAGCGACUUAUAUUCUGUAGCAAGGUUAACCGAAUAGGGGAGCCGAAGGGAAACCGAGUCUUAACUGGGCGUUAAGUUGCAGGGUAUAGACCCGAAACCCGGUGAUCUAGCCAUGGGCAGGUUGAAGGUUGGGUAACACUAACUGGAGGACCGAACCGACUAAUGUUGAAAAAUUAGCGGAUGACUUGUGGCUGGGGGUGAAAGGCCAAUCAAACCGGGAGAUAGCUGGUUCUCCCCGAAAGCUAUUUAGGUAGCGCCUCGUGAAUUCAUCUCCGGGGGUAGAGCACUGUUUCGGCAAGGGGGUCAUCCCGACUUACCAACCCGAUGCAAACUGCGAAUACCGGAGAAUGUUAUCACGGGAGACACACGGCGGGUGCUAACGUCCGUCGUGAAGAGGGAAACAACCCAGACCGCCAGCUAAGGUCCCAAAGUCAUGGUUAAGUGGGAAACGAUGUGGGAAGGCCCAGACAGCCAGGAUGUUGGCUUAGAAGCAGCCAUCAUUUAAAGAAAGCGUAAUAGCUCACUGGUCGAGUCGGCCUGCGCGGAAGAUGUAACGGGGCUAAACCAUGCACCGAAGCUGCGGCAGCGACGCUGAUGCGUUGUUGGGUAGGGGAGCGUUCUGUAAGCCUGUGAAGGUGUGCUGUGAGGCAUGCUGGAGGUAUCAGAAGUGCGAAUGCUGACAUAAGUAACGAUAAAGCGGGUGAAAAGCCCGCUCGCCGGAAGACCAAGGGUUCCUGUCCAACGUUAAUCGGGGCAGGGUGAGUCGACCCCUAAGGCGAGGCCGAAAGGCGUAGUCGAUGGGAAACAGGUUAAUAUUCCUGUACUUGGUGUUACUGCGAAGGGGGGACGGAGAAGGCUAUGUUGGCCGGGCGACGGUUGUCCCGGUUUAAGCGUGUAGGCUGGUUUUCCAGGCAAAUCCGGAAAAUCAAGGCUGAGGCGUGAUGACGAGGCACUACGGUGCUGAAGCAACAAAUGCCCUGCUUCCAGGAAAAGCCUCUAAGCAUCAGGUAACAUCAAAUCGUACCCCAAACCGACACAGGUGGUCAGGUAGAGAAUACCAAGGCGCUUGAGAGAACUCGGGUGAAGGAACUAGGCAAAAUGGUGCCGUAACUUCGGGAGAAGGCACGCUGAUAUGUAGGUGAAGUCCCUCGCGGAUGGAGCUGAAAUCAGUCGAAGAUACCAGCUGGCUGCAACUGUUUAUUAAAAACACAGCACUGUGCAAACACGAAAGUGGACGUAUACGGUGUGACGCCUGCCCGGUGCCGGAAGGUUAAUUGAUGGGGUCAGCGCAAGCGAAGCUCUUGAUCGAAGCCCCGGUAAACGGCGGCCGUAACUAUAACGGUCCUAAGGUAGCGAAAUUCCUUGUCGGGUAAGUUCCGACCUGCACGAAUGGCGUAAUGAUGGCCAGGCUGUCUCCACCCGAGACUCAGUGAAAUUGAACUCGCUGUGAAGAUGCAGUGUACCCGCGGCAAGACGGAAAGACCCCGUGAACCUUUACUAUAGCUUGACACUGAACAUUGAGCCUUGAUGUGUAGGAUAGGUGGGAGGCUUUGAAGUGUGGACGCCAGUCUGCAUGGAGCCGGCCUUGAAAUACCACCCUUUAAUGUUUGAUGUUCUAACGUUGACCCGUGAUCCGGGUUGCGGACAGUGUCUGGUGGGUAGUUUGACUGGGGCGGUCUCCUCCUAAAGAGUAACGGAGGAGCACGAAGGUUGGCUAAUCCUGGUCGGACAUCAGGAGGUUAGUGCAAUGGCAUAAGCCAGCUUGACUGCGAGCGUGACGGCGCGAGCAGGUGCGAAAGCAGGUCAUAGUGAUCCGGUGGUUCUGAAUGGAAGGGCCAUCGCUCAACGGAUAAAAGGUACUCCGGGGAUAACAGGCUGAUACCGCCCAAGAGUUCAUAUCGACGGCGGUGUUUGGCACCUCGAUGUCGGCUCAUCACAUCCUGGGGCUGAAGUAGGUCCCAAGGGUAUGGCUGUUCGCCAUUUAAAGUGGUACGCGAGCUGGGUUUAGAACGUCGUGAGACAGUUCGGUCCCUAUCUGCCGUGGGCGCUGGAGAACUGAGGGGGGCUGCUCCUAGUACGAGAGGACCGGAGUGGACGCAUCACUGGUGUUCGGGUUGUCAUGCCAAUGGCACUGCCCGGUAGCUAAAUGCGGAAGAGAUAAGUGCUGAAAGCAUCUAAGCACGAAACUUGCCCCGAGAUGAGUUCUCCCUGACUCCUUGAGAGUCCUGAAGGAACGUUGAAGACGACGACGUUGAUAGGCCGGGUGUGUAAGCGCAGCGAUGCGUUGAGCUAACCGGUACUAAUGAACCGUGAGGCUUAACCUUACAACGCCGAAGGUGUUU